GUAGCGGUCCGGUUCUCUGUGUCUGCUUAUGCCUACCUUUCUGCUGGGGACGGGCUCCUGGGCGUAAAAACCUGGGACUCGAAGUCGGCGUGGUUACUUUGAGUAAAUUAGAGUGUUCAAAGCAGGCUUACGCUCUGAAUACAUUAGCAUGGAAUAACAUUAUAGGACUCUGGCCUAUCUUGUUGGUCUGUAGGACCGGAGUAAUGAUUAAGAGGCAUGGUCGGGGGCAUUUGUAUUGCAUUGUCAGAGGUGAAAUUCUUGGAUUUAUGCAAGACAAACCGCUGCGAAAGCGUUUGCCAAGGACAUAGCCAUUAAUCAAGAACGAAAGUUGGGGGCUCGAAGACGAUUAGAUACCGUCGUAGUCUCAACCAUAAACGAUGCCGACUAGGGAUUGGCGGACGUUCUUUUGAUGACUCCGCCAGCACCUUAUGAAAAAAUCAAAGUUUUUGGGUUCCGGGGGGAAGUAUGGUCGCAAGGCUGAAACUUAAAGGAAUUGACGGAAGGGCACCACCAGGCGUGGGAGCCUGCGGCUUAANUUGACUCAACACGGGAAACUUACCAGGUCCAGACACGGGAANGAUUGNCAGAUUGANACUCUUUCUUGANUCUGGGGUGGUGGGCAUGGCCGUCUUAAUGGGG
rnacentral:rRNA from 1 species